UGAGUGUGUGUCAGCGAGGCAGACCUGCAGGUAUAGUGUGAGUGUGAGGAGGCCCAGGGCGACGGUCAUUCCAAAGAAACCGCGGAGUAGCAGCACCCUCCUCCCCGUGCUUUCAAUCAGCAACACCUGGGACAGAGGGAUAGGACAGAGGAAGGGAUAGAGGAGGAGGAGGAGACUCACACAGAUGAUGGAGGUGACAAUCUCACAGAGGCCGGUCCCGAGAGCUGCAUACCGCAGCUGGUUGGACGGUAUCCCUGCAGCACUGAACACAUCAUAUGAGUACAGGAAUCUUCCUGCCAUGAUCAUCUCAAACGACCCAGCCGUUUUACUGAGCAACAUCAGCAGGGCCCCGCUGAUGGCCACCAGGUUGUUCAGCAGCAGACAUCGCUUCCUGGAGAGAUGCAUGAUGGGAUAGGCAUUCACCAGUCGCCCAGCGCACAGCGAGGCCAACAGACCACCGAUGCAGAAGAUGGACACGAUGAAGGACCAGAUGAGGGAGAGUUGCCAAGGCUCCAAGGGGAGUCCGUACCGCUCAGCACACGUGCGGUUCACCAGCUCCUUAAUGAACUGGACACCGGGACAGUUUAUGCGUUACACAAAAAAUAAAUGGUAAAUGGUGAAAGGACUGCAUUUAUAAAGCGCUUUUAUACUCCUCUGAGCACUCAAAGCACUUUACAAUUUCAUGCCUCACAUUCACACACACAAAUUCAUACACUGAUGGCCUCCUUCAUACACUGCCUUGCAAGGCACAAAACCUGUACAUCGGGAGCACUUUGGGGUUAAGUGUCUUGCUCAAGGAUACUUCUUCAGGGUCAGGAGUCGUUGGGCUCAAACUGGCUGCCUUCUGGUUGCUGAACGACUCCUCCUCCUCCUAAGCCACCGCCGCUAAAUAGGCCUAUCAGACAUGAGUGGCCAAGUGGCCUGCAAUCUUUACCUGCUAGUUUAUCAAGACAGAAAGGAACAGCCCAAAAAGUAGUGUGCUUCAUGUCAAAGACCACUGUAUCCCGUGGUAUCAUAUGGAGACUGUGAACUUCACGUGCACAUAAACAAGGGGAACUUGCUGUGUCACGAAAAGAAAAAAGCUGUUUUCAAAUGACACACAUUUUCCAUGUGACAAGGAACAUGUGGAAGACCAUUUUUUCACUUUAAUCCCAUUGCAGAUUUCACCAAAAAAAGACUAGACUAUAGACUCGGUUAGAUUUAGAAUGAGAGCUAGAGCUCAUUCACAUACUCACAGUAGAUGGUGAGGUCAACACUGAGAUCUGAAGGCCAUACUGGAAGGUCCCGCCAAUACCAGUGAUGAAGAUAGCAGCAAUAAGCAGAGGACUUUGCAGCUGCCAACAGGCCAAAGCAAACAGCUAAACACAGCAAAGUCAUUGAAAUAAAUGGUCAUUGACAUUCAUGUGGUGAAAAGAUUGGACACCUACCAGUAAGCCCAGUGCACACAUGUUUGGAGGUAGCCACACUUGACUUGUGUGUGUCUUACGAUAGUGUUCUCUCUCCUCUUGCUCUAUGAGUGACAGUGCAUUUCUCUGUUCCAGUAAAACGCAGGUCCAAAUAUCUAACCAGCAAGUAUAAGUGUAACUUCUCAAAUCUAAAUUAAGCUAAAGAGAGGGAACAAACAGUAACAGGAACAGUAGUCAAGAAAAGAAACUUUUAACCCUAAUCGCUGAACCUUGCAGUGUAUGAAGUCUACUACUAAAUAUCCACACAAAAAGAUCAUGAUGUUUUGCACAAACACACUGACAUGACAAUAUUUUUUUUCAGCAUGUCAAUAAUUAUGUUUCUUUACUUUUCUAGCUGUAACAGAAACAACUCGCUAUUAUAAAUGCGUACAAAACCA